GCCUAGAAGUAUUAAAAACCCAUGGGCAAUGAGCAACCACUAGUGCCUAGAUUGUGGUCCUUAAAUGACAUUUCCCAUUUGAAGGAACCAGGUUUUCUUGGACGGCUGAGUCCAAGUCUGGGACAGUACCUGUACAAGAUGAGGCUGGAACAUCCUACUGAGCCAAAAGCUAUGAUGUGAUCCAAGACAGAGAAAAAAGAAUCAAUGGAGACAGGCAAAAUAGAAAUCAAUCCAGCCCCGUUCUUGUAGAUGGAAAGACAAGGAAAAAGUUAUUGCAAAACAGACUGACUUGCUGUGCUUGUCCUUGUGCACUGGGCAGCGCCGGCCCAUCUGACAGCGAUCACACCUUGCAUGAAUGUGACCUCGGUGGAAGGAAGGGCUGCGGGUGGCUGUGACAGUUCUUUCUCACAUCUCCUUUUUGCAAACACCUGAGGUGGCACCUCAGCAAUGCUGAGCAGAGUACGGAGCAGUUUGCAAUGUUCUUUUGCAUCCAAAAAAAAAAAAAAAAAAAAAAAA